rnacentral:lncRNA from 1 species
AUGUUUUCCACGAUUUCUAAAAAUAGGAAGGAAAGCAUUACUCAGAUGAGAAUGAUACAUGUGAUCCUCUGGAUGCUGUUCCAGCCUGUCUCUCUACUAUCCUAUUACUGUAAUCCCACUGGAGAACUGUCUCUCGCUCACUGUCUCUCACUGCAUCCCGAGAACGUCUCAAACUGCAGUCUGUGGACCACCCAGGAAUCUAUCACACUGUCCCUGUUUGUCGUGACUAUGUCAUGCAUUUUUUUAGAUGCAUUUAUUUUUGCUCAUGCUGGGUUUUUGUUGCUGUGCGCAGACUUUCUCUAGUUGAAACAAGCAGGGGCUACUUUUCAUUGCAGUGUGUGGGCUUCUCAUUUCGAAGGCUUCUCUUAUGGUGGAGCACAGGCUCUAGGCUAUCAGGCUUCAGUAGCUGCAGCACGUGGGCUGUCAUUGUGGCUCAAGAGCUCUAGAGCACUGGGUUAGUGGUUGUGGUACUCAGGCUCCGUUGCUCUGCAACAUGUGGGAUCUUCCAGGACCAGGGGUCAAAACAGUGUCCCUUGCAUUGCAAGAUGGAUUCUUAACCACUGAACCACCAAGAAAGCCCAGAUGUCAUGUAUUUUAAAUAUAAGAUGAAUUAUGAUUUUCAGAGAAAAUUGUGACACUGAGAGAAUAACCAGAAACUUAGUAAAUGUUCUGAAUAAGUCUUGCCUAGAAUGGGCAGCUGUUAUGUAUCAUCUUCUGACUUUUAAUGGGCUCCACUCCUGCAAAAUACAUUUCCUAUGUCACUUUCCAGUCUGUGAAAUGACUCCCAGCUGAAAUAAGAGCCAACAUCAUCCUGGGCACACAGAAGAAGAUGCAGGACCACCAUCCCCACCCCCAGAGUCAUCCCAAUAAACUCCACCUGAUACCUCUAUCUCUAUCACUGAUUCUCAACUAAAAUGAUCAGGUUCCCAGAAACUCCUGGUCUUGGCUGGCAGUGGUGGUCAUCACCAGCCAAGCCCAGGCUUCUUUGAAAAGUCACCUUCCUUCCUUCUGAUUUGGCAGUUUUGAAAAGCAUCUGUUAGUUUUUCAGAUGCAAUCUUUAUUAUAUCUGUUUACAAGUGUGAAAAUUCCUCACCAAGUCAGCUUCUGAGAAUCAUUAAGGAAAGCACAGAAAAGUCAAAGGUAGAAAUAAAUAAUUAGUAUACACAGCUGUCCUUUCAUCCUUGCCUUCAGAACCUAGGAGGUUGUGGCAUUUCACUGGGACCUGAACACUGAGCUCCAGCUUCAGAGGGGGAAACAGGAAAGCUUCAGAACAUCUGUUUCCAUGUGUGUAUGCAGAAAUCCCUGAUUCCAUCAUAUUCAGACUCUGUAUACUACGGGCAGCAUCACAUUUAAAGUCUGUGAUCUCCUGCUGCUGCUGCUGCUGCUAAGUUGCUUCAGUCACGUCCAACUCUGUGCG